rnacentral:rRNA from 1 species
ACGGGGCGCAGCAGGCGCGAAACCUCCUCAAUGCACUAACGUGCGAAGGGGUUACCUCGAGUGCUAUCUGAUGAAGGUGGCUUUUCCAUGGUCUAAAAAGCCUAGGGAAUAAGAGGGGGGCAAGACUGGUGUCAGCCGCCGCGGUAACACCAGCCCCUCGAGUGGUGGGGAUGAUUAUUUGGCCUAAAGCGUCCGUAGCCUGCCGGAUAAGUUUCCCGUUAAAUCCGACGUCUCAAGCGUUGGACUGCGGGAAAUACUGUCUGGCUAGAGAGUGGGAGAGGUUAGCGGUAUUCUGGGGGUAGGGGCGAAAUCCUUUGAUCCCCGGAGGACCACCAGUGGCGAAGGCUGCUAACUAUAACACGUCUGACGGUCAGGGACGAAAGCUGGGGUAGCGAACCGGAUUAGAUACCCGGGUAGUCCCAGCCGUAAACGAUGCAUGCUAGGUGUUGGGUUGGCCACGAGCCACCCCAGUGCCGCAGGGAAGCCGUUAAGCAUGCCGCCUGGGAAGUACGAUCGCAAGGUUGAAACUUAAAGGAAUUGGCGGGGGAGCACCACCAGGCGUGAAGCCUGCGGUUUAAUUGGAGUCAACGCCGGGAACCUUACCGGAAGCGACAGCAGAGUGAAGGCCAGAUUGAAGAUCUUACCAGACGAGCUGAGAGGAGGUGCAUGGCCGUCGCCAGUUCGUGCCGUGAGGUGUUCUCUUAAGUGAGAUAACGAACGAGACCCGUACCACAUGUUGCCAUCAGAAUCUAAAGGAUUGCUGGGCACUCUUGUGGGACUGCAGCCGAUAAGGCUGAGGAGGGUAUGGGCCACGGCAGGUCAGUAUGCCCCGAAUCUUCCGGGCCACACGCGGGCUGCAAUGGUACAGACAGAGGGCUGCCACCCCGAGAGGGGGAGCCAAUCCCUAAACUGUAUCUCAGUUGGAAUUGAGGGCUGCAACCCGCCCUCAUGAACAUGGAAUGCCUAGUAACCGCCAGUCAUCAUCUGGCGGUGAAUACGUCCCUGCUCCUUGCACACACUGCCCGUCGAACCACCCGAAUGAGGUUUGGGUGAGGAAUGGUCGAAAGUUGGCCGUUUCGAACCUGGGUCUCGUAAGGAGGGUUAAGUCGUAACAAGGUAGCCGU